rnacentral:lncRNA from 1 species
UCAGAUUGACCAGAAAAUCAUCAAUCUGAUGGUUUUCGGGCGUUUAAGGGAUGCAAUACAGAAGGGGGAUGAUAAUAUUAGAUGGAAAGGUUAACGAUGGAAGAAUCUUUCUCUGAUCCAUUUUAAUGUUAGGCUUUUGUUAAUCCUUGAUCCAUUUAAUUGUUGGGUUGCAUGAUUGGUUACGUUUCGAAUCGUUAGAGAGGAAACAGAAAUUGAUUUUCUUCAAUCUCAUUUCAACUUUUCAUAUAGCCCUGUUAGACCGGCCUAGCGCUAAGUGUGGAAUAACACAUAUGGAACCAAAAGUUUCGAAUCGUUGAAACAUCUCCAAAGUCAUUAUGGUUGUCAAAGAAAAGGCAGAUAUCAUUACCAAUGAUCAACACUAAGAACAGUAGCAGGCCAAGCCCCAACAAGGUAACAAAAUGUGAAAGCCAAAUAGAAGCCAGCUGGACAGCACUGGAGGCUUGGAAAAGUGGCAAUAAAGUUACCUAAAAAUAAAACGGAUGUUUUUAUUAAAUAAAUAGGAUUUAUUCCUAUGAAAUGUGUGUAUUGAAAACUUGGGUUUUACCCAUAUGUUUAAUGUUAUAAAACAUGGUGGUUUACUCUGAUUAAAUAUUUCCUAACU